rnacentral:tRNA from 1 species
CAUUAGAUGACUGAAAGUAAGUACUGGUCUCUUAAACCACAUAAUAGUAAAUUAACGUCUACUUCUAAUGA